GACGAACGCUGGCGGCGUGCCUAAUACAUGCAAGUUGAGCGAUGAAGCUUGGUGCUUGCACCAAUUUGAAGAGCAGCGAACGGGUGAGUAACGUGUGGGGACUCUGCCUUUGAGCGGGGGACAACAUUUGGAAACGAAUGCUAAUACCGCAUAACAACUUUAAACAUAAGUUUUAAGUUUGAAAGAUGCAAUUGCAUCACUCAAGGAUGAUCCCGCGUUGUAUUAGCUAGGUGGUGAGGUAAAGGCUCAUCAAGGCGAUGAUACAUAGCCGACCUGAGAGGGUGGUUAGCCACAAUGGGACUGAGACACGGGCCAAACCUCCUCAGGAAGGGGCCAGAAGGAAUCUUCGGCAAUGGACGGAAGUCUGACCGAGCAACGCCGCGUGAGUGAAGAAGGUUGUCGGAUCGUAAAACUCUGUUGGUAGAGAAGAACGUUGGUGAGAGUGGAAAGCUCAUCAAGUGACGGUAACUACCCAGAAAGGGACGGCUAACUACGUG
rnacentral:rRNA from 1 species